rnacentral:rRNA from 1 species
CCCCUAGAUGUUCUGGGCCGCACGCGCGCUACACUGAACAGUUCAACAAGUCUUAACCUUGGCCGAUAGGUCUGGGUAAUCUUUGAACGCUGUUCGUGAUUGGGAUAGACCUUUGCAAUUAUGGGUCUUCAACGAGGAAUUCCUAGUAAACGCAAGUCAUCAACUUGCAUUGAUUACGUCCCUGCCCUUUGUACACACCGCCCGUCGCACCUACCGAUUGAAUGGUCCGGUGAAAUCUCGGGACGGCGGCUUGGUCGCUUGCGUCCGACUGCUGAAACUUGAUUAAACCAUAUCAUUUAGAGGAAGGUGAANUCGUANCA